UCCUUUUUGUAGGAACAAUAUUUAUAUAAAAAAUUGAAUAUUGGAUUACAGAAUGUACU
rnacentral:pre_miRNA from 1 species